rnacentral:rRNA from 1 species
GACGAACGCUGGCGGCGUGCCUAAUACAUGCAAGUAGAACGCUGAAGGAGGAGCUUGCUUCUCUGGAUGAGUUGCGAACGGGUGAGUAACGCGUAGGUAACCUGCCUGGUAGCGGGGGAUAACUAUUGGAAACGAUAGCUAAUACCGCAUAAUAGCAGUUAUUGCAUGAUAACUGUUUGAAAGGUGCAAUUGCACCACUACCAGAUGGACCUGCGUUGUAUUAGCUAGUUGGUGGGGUAACGGCUCAACAAGGCGACGAUACAUAGCCGACCUGAGAGGGUGAUCGGCCACACUGGGACUGAGAAACGGCCCAAACUCCUACGGGAGGCAGCAGUAGGGAAUCUUCGGCAAUGGACGGAAGUCUGACCGAGCAACGCCGCGUGAGGGAAGAAGGGUUUCGGAUCGUAAAGCUCUGUUGUAAGAGAAGAACGAGUGUGAGAGUGGAAAGUUCACACUGUGACGGUAUCUUACCAGAAAGGGACGGCUAACUACGUG